rnacentral:rRNA from 1 species
UACGAAGGGGGCUAGCGUUGUCCGGAUUUAUUGGGUUUAAAGGGUGCGUAGGCGGCUUGAUAAGUCAGUGGUGAAAGCCGAUCGCUUAACGAUCGAACUGCCAUUGAUACUGUCGGGCUUGAGUAUAGAUGAGGUAGGCGGAAUUGACAGUGUAGCGGUGAAAUGCAUAGAUAUUGUCAAGAACACCAAUUGCGAAAGGCAGCUU